AMCAUGCAAGUUCGCACGGUAACAGGUCUUCGGAUGCUGACGAGUGGCGAACGGGUGAGUACUAAAUSRGAGCGUGCCCGAUCGUGGGGGAUAACGGAGCGAAAGCUUUGCUAAUACCGCAUACGAUCUACGGAUGAAAGCGGGGGAUCUUCGGACCUCGCGCGGACGGAGCGGCCGAUGGCAGAUUAGGUAGUUGGUGGGAUAAAAGCUUACCAAGCCGACGAUCUGUAGCUGGUCUGAGAGGAUGAUCAGCCACACUGGGACUGAGACACGGCCCAGACUCCUACGGGAGGCAGCAGUGGGGAAUUUUGGACAAUGGGGGCAACCCUGAUCCAGCCAUGCCGCGUGCAGGAUGAAGGCCUUCGGGUUGUAAACUGCUUUUGUACGGAACGAAAAGACUCUGGUUAAUACCUGGGGUCCAUGACGGUACCGUAAGAAUAAGCACCGGCUAACUACGUGCCAGCAGCCGCGGUAAUACGUAGGGUGCAAGCGUUAAUCGGAAUUACUGGGCGUAAAGCGUGCGCAGGCGGUGAUGUAAGACAGAGGUGAAAUCCCCGGGCUCAACCUGGGAACUGCCUUUGUGACUGCAUCGCUGGAGUGCGGCAGAGGGGGAUGGAAUUCCGCGUGUAGCAGUGAAAUGCGUAGAUAUGCGGAGGCACACCGAUGGYGAAGGCAAAUCCCCUGGGCCUGCACUGACGCUCAUGCACGAAAGCGUGGGGAGUCAAACAGGAUUASAUACCCCUGGAAGUCCACGCCCCUAAACGAUGUCRACUGGUUUGUUGGGUUUUAAUUAAMCUWCAGUAACCGAAAUCUAAYGCGUGGAAGUUGACCCGCCCUGGGGAGUACCGGC
rnacentral:rRNA from 1 species